UCUCUCUGAAGAGGAGCGGUGUCGUGCUGGGUGACAGGAGGAAGGAUGAGACGGUCUUUUAAGGUCUCUCCCAAUCUGGGAAGUCUAUGAAUAUCCCUACCAGCUGAGAGUGAUUCUCCAUGCUUUAUUCAUCACGAAAAUGACGCAAAUCCAGAAAAGCAGCUCUUUCAAAGGGCUGAGAAGUCCAUGUUUCCUGUAUAAACGGUGCAAAUGCUGACUAUGAAAGAUUUAGAG
rnacentral:lncRNA from 1 species